rnacentral:rRNA from 1 species
AUGGGGGAACCUGAUGCANCGACGCCNCGCUGAAGGAAGAAGUAUCUCNGUAUGUAAACUUCUAUCAGCAGGGGAAGAUAGUGACNGUACCUGACUAAGAAGCCCCNGCUAACUACNUGCCAGCAGCCNCGGUAAUACCUAGGGGGCAAGCNUUAUCCNGAAUUAUUGGGCNUAAAGGGCUCCUAGGCNGUUCNUCCCNUCCGGUGUGAAAGUCCAUCCCUUAACNGUGGAUCCNCNCCNGGUACGGGCGGGCUUGAGUGCCGUAGGGGAGACUGGAAUUCCCGGUGUAACNGUGGAAUGUGUAGAUAUCGGGAAGAACACCAAUGGCNAAGGCAGGUCUCUGGGCCGUCACUGACGCUGAGGAGCGAAAGUGUGGGUAGCAAACAGGAUUAGAUACCCUGGUAGUCCAAGGGCGAAUUC